AGUGAACGCUGGCGGUAGGCCUAACACAUGCAAGUCGAACGGCAGCACAGUAAGAGCUUGCUCUUACGGGUGGCGAGUGGCGGACGGGUGAGGAAUACAUCGGAAUCUACUUUUUCGUGGGGGAUAACGUAGGGAAACUUACGCUAAUACCGCAUACGACCUACGGGUGAAAUCAGGGGAUCUUCGGACCUUGCGCGAUUCAAUGAGCCGAUGUCGGAUUAGCUAGUUGGCGGGGUAAAGGCCCACCAAGGCGACGAUCCGUAGCUGGUCUGAGAGGAUGAUCAGCCACACUGGAACUGAGACACGGUCCAGACUCCUACGGGAGGCAGCAGUGGGGAAUAUUGGACAAUGGGCGCAAGCCUGAUCCAGCCAUACCGCGUGGGUGAAGAAGGCCUUCGGGUUGUAAAGCCCUUUUGUUGGGAAAGAAAAGCAGCAGGUUAAUACCCCGCUGUUCUGACGGUACCCAAAGAAUAAGCACCGGCUAACUUCGUG
rnacentral:rRNA from 1 species